rnacentral:rRNA from 1 species
GAUGAACGCUGGCGGCGUGCCUAAUACAUGCAAGUCGAGCGAAGCGGGGACGGGUGAGUAACACGUGGAUAACCUCCUAUAAGACUGGGAUAACUUCGGGACACCGGUGCUAAUCCCGAUACUUAUACAUUGAUCCCCGCUGCAUUAGCUAGUUGGUAAGGUAACGGCUUACCAAGGCAACGAUGCAUAGCCGAGCUGAGAGGGUGAUCGGCCACACUGGAACUGCGACACGGGCCAGACUCCUACGGGAGGCAGCAGUAGGGAAUCUUCCGCAAUGGGCGAAAGCCUGACGGAGCAACGCCGCGUGAGUGAUGAAGGUCUUCGGAUCGUAAAACUCUGUUAUUAGGGAAGCGGUACAUAAAGAGAAAGCAACGGCUAACUACGUGCCAGCAGCCGCGGUAAUUG